GCUCGUAGUUGGAUUUCGGGCGUGGAGGUUCGGUCCGCCGUUUCGGUGUGCACUGUCUUUCUGCGUCUUUCUGUCGGGGACGCGCUUCUGGCCUUAAUUGGCUGGGACGUGGAUUCGACGAGGUUACUUUGAAAAAAUUAGAGUGUUCAAAGCAAGCUAAAGCUCUGAAUACAUUAGCAUGGAAUAACGCGAGAGGACUCGGUCCUUAUUUUGUUGGUCUUCAAGGAUGGAGUAAUGAUUAAGAGGGACAGUUGGGGGCAUUCGUAUUUCAUUGCUAGAGGUGAAAUUCUUGGAUUUAUGAAAGACGAACUUCUGCGAAAGCAUUUGCCAAGGAUGUUUUCAUUGAUCAAGAACGAAAGUUGGGGGCUCGAAGAUGAUCAGAUACCAUCCUAGUCUCAACCAUAAACGAUGCCGACUAGGGAUUGGCAGGUGUUACAUCGAUGACUCUGCCAGCACCUUAUGAGAAAUCAAAGUUUUUGGGUUCCGGGGGGAGUAUGGUCGCAAGGCUGAAACUUAAAGGAAUUGACGGAAGGGCACCACCAGGAGUGGAGCCUGCGGCUUAAUUUGACUCAACACGGGGAAACUUACCAGGUCCAGACAUAGUAAGGAUUGACAGAUUGAGAGCUCUUUCUUGAUUCUAUGGGUGGUGGUGCAUGGCCGUUCUUAGUUGGCGGAGUGAUUUGUCUGGUUAAUUCCGUUA
rnacentral:rRNA from 1 species